AACCCGACUCCGUGAAGCUGGAUUCGCUAGUAAUCGCGCAUCAGCCAUGGCGCGGUGAAUACGUUCCCGGGCCUUGUACACACCGCCCGUCAAGCCAUGGGAGCCGGGGGGUGCUUGAAGUGCGUCGCCGCAAGGCGCGCCCUAGAGCAAAACCGGUGACUGGGGCUAAGUCGUAACAAGGUAUC
rnacentral:rRNA from 1 species